UUUCCGUAGGUGAACCUGCGGAAGGAUCAUUGUCAAGAGCCUGUAGAGUGUCGGUGGACAUGCGAACUUGUCGUAACAUUUAUAGGGGGUGCAUGGGGAGUUGCUUUGUCUCUUCCCUUGGUCGAUGGCCAUGUGAUCUAGAGGUCACGCGUGCCUCUCGGCCUAACUCUCAAAUCGGUACGGUACGUGCCAAGUAAACUCAGUUGAAAAUCCCAUCCCCUGCCCCUCGCAUGAAGCGUGCAUGGGAUUCGAGGAGGAGAGAUACGAAAAUGUUGGUUAUAGAAUGACUCUCGACAAUGGAUAUCUCGGCUCUCGUAUCGAUGAAGAACGCAGCGAAAUGCGAUACUUGGUGUGAAUUGCAGAAUCUCGUGAGUCAUUGAGUUUUUGAAUGCAAGUUGCGCCUAAAGUCAUUUUUUUUGGUCGAGGGCACACCUGCCUGGGUGUCAUGCAUGGAGUUUUCCUGGGACCUCCCCCUCCUCUGUGUGACCCUUUGCUUGGUUGAUAUUUGUGGCAGGGGUGAGGGGCAUCUUGGGUAUAUGUUGGCCUCCCGUUCCCAGUUGUGCGGUUGGUUUAAAUUUGGGGCCCUUGGUGACAUGCGUCGUUGAUGAGUUGUUGUAAACAAUGUUUGUCCCGUGUUAGCAAGUGAGAGCCCCCGUUGUCCCAUGGCUUCCUUGACACUUAGAUGGAGUUACCCUUUUGACCCC
rnacentral:misc_RNA from 1 species